GCUCACGGUGAUAGCACGUUGAAUGAUCCAGUUCCUGAUGGAUCACUAAAGUUAAGCAACGUCACACGUGGUUGGUAUCUGGAUGGGUGACCAUCUGGGCAACCGCGUGCUGCUUUUC
rfam:Asian citrus Psyllid, Diaphorina citri - Florida Strain, whole genome shotgun sequence.